UGAGGAAUAUUGGUCAAUGGACGGAAGUCUGAACCAGCCAAGUAGCGUGCAGGAUGACGGCCCUAUGGGUUGUAAACUGCUUUUGUAUGGGGAUAAAGUUAGGGACGUGUCCCUAUUUGCAGGUACCAUACGAAUAAGGACCGGCUAAUUCCGUGCCAGCAGCCGCGGUAAUACGGAAGGUCCAGGCGUUAUCCGGAUUUAUUGGGUUUAAAGGGAGCGUAAGCUGGAGAUUAAGUGUGUUGUGAAAUGUAGACGCUCAACGUCUGAAUUGCAGCGCAUACUGGUUUCCUUGAGUACGCACAACGUUGGCGGAAUUCGUCGUGUAGCGGUGAAAUGCUUAGAUAUGACGAAGAACUCCGAUUGCGAAGGCAGCUGACGGGAGCGCAACUGACGCUUAAGCUCGAAGGUGCGGGUAUCAAACAGG
rnacentral:rRNA from 1 species